GGUCAGUAUAGGGGGUGGUGGGGUCAGUGGGGGGUGAUGGGGUUGGGGGGAGAAGAGGGGAAAGAGAGUGUGGAGGGGAUGAUGUGGGGCUGCAAUGGGUCCCUGGAGAGCCUCGGAGGGGGGUCAGAGGUCAGAGGUCACGUGCCAUGGGGUCAGUAUGGGGUCAGUAUGGGGUCUUAGGGUCAGUAUGGGGUCGGUAUGGGGUCAUUAUGGGGUGCUGGGGUCAGUGUGGGGUGGUUAUGGGGCAGUGCAGAACAUGGCCGUGGGCAAGCAGAACCUCGAGGUCAUGAUCAGCAACUCCAACCGCUCCCAGCAGGACUUCGGUACGGGGGGCGGGGGGUCAGAGGUCACAGGUCGGGGGUCAGGGGUCAGUAUAGGGGGUGGUGGGGUCAGUGUGGGGUGAUGGGGUUGGGGUGAGAAGAGGGGAAAGAGAGUGUGGAGGGGAUGAUGUGGGGCUGCAAUGGGUCCCUGGAGAGCCUUGGAGGGGGGUCAGAGGUCAGAGGUCACGUGCCAUGGGGACAGUGUGGGGUCAGUAUGGGGUCUUAGGGUCAGUAUGGGGUCGGUAUGGGGUCGGUAUGGGGUCAUUGUGGGGUGAUGGGGUUGGGGUGAGCUCAUGGACUGAGCAGAGUGGAGAGAGAGUGUGGAGGGGAUGAUGUGGGGCUGCAAUGGGUCCCUGGAGAGCCUCGGAGGGGGGUCAGAGGUCAGAGGUCACGUGCCAUGGGGUCAGUAUGGGGUCAGU
ensembl:lncRNA